UACGUAGGGACCGAGCGUUGUCCGGAUUCAUUGGGCGUAAAGAGCUCGUAGGCGGCCACUCAAGUCGAAUGUGAAACCUCGAGGCUUAACCUCGAGCCUGCAUUCGAUACUGGGCGGCUAGAGUCUGGUAGGGGGAUCUGGAAUUCCUGGUGUAGCGGUGGAAUGCGCAGAUAUCAGGAGGAACACCUAUGGCGAAAGCAGCUCUCUGGGACGGUACUGACGCUGAGACGCGAAAGCGUGGGGAGCGAACAGG
rnacentral:rRNA from 1 species